GGCUAAUUACUGAUUGAUGAAUCACACAGCCGUUAUAACCCGGACGUUGGGGCAUCACUGAUAUCAGAACGACGUUGUCAUCCACAGGAGACAGACGUUAAGCAGCAGCCAUGAUGAAGGUGAUCCUAUGCGUACUGUUGAUUGCUGGUCUGUCUGGCGUACUGGCCGGCCCUGUCAUCAAGAAGAGGGCGGACCAGCGGGGCUACUGCUACACCAGUGAAGGUGUCUUCAGACAUGGGCAGGUGUUCAACACCGCCAGAUCCCCCUGCCUCAAGUACAGGUGCGAGUUUGGCAGGGCGAGAGUAUAUGAAAUAGGU